GCUGCGUGGCUCUGCCUGCAGCUGCUCCACGACCUCAGGGGCGGCGUAGCGGGGCUUCCUGGGCCCUGUCUUGACACCCACACGUGCCAGGCUUCAGCCUGCCCUUUCCAGACGCAGAGGGGGUAUCAGCGGUCGGCUAACUUUGAAAGGAAGCCAGUCCUGCCUGGGAGGAGUUCUCAUCACCCCCGGGCUCCAGCCAGCCCUGGGCAUACUAAAGGAAUGCCCAAAAUCUGGGCUUCAGCCAAAAGUCCUUGUGGCCUGGAUGCGCCCCCUGCCUGAAUGUGCAGCUGCCACGUGAUGGUGGCUCUGAACCCUCGGCUCCCGCCUGCCUGGGGAAUGGACGGGCUAUGAACUGAAUCUGCAUGGGACUUUGAACCUAGCUGAAUCCUCCGGCUUGAGGAUUGUCCAUUUUAUUGCUGUUGCUAUUGUUAUGUCAUUAGUUGGGCCACAGUGCUCCAGUUUUCUCAUGCAGGGACCAUUGUGGAAGAAGGGGAAUAAGUAGAUUAUAAAGCGAGAUUUCUGGAGGGGUGGCCUGUGGGGAAAAUUGUAACACUUCUAGAAUAUCUUGCCUGACUUUAGUGCGUCUGCAUAUCCCCAGGGGUGGAGAGAAGUUCAUCUCCAUGUCAGUGAGUGAUUACCUGGGCAACCGAGGGCGUGUCUGAACCUGAGAGGUUAAGGGGAGGGGCUGGCUUGCUGGCUUCCUUGCUUCUUCAGGAGCAGCGGGGAGAGCCGGCCCAGGACUGCAGUUUGUAAGCAAUAAACAGGUUUUAAACUUUA